CCUACGGGUGGCAGCAGUGGGGAAUAUUGCACAAUGGGGGGAACCCUGAUGCAGCGAUGCCGCGUGAAUGAAGAAGUUUUUCGGCUUGUAAACUUCUUUUAUACGGGACGAAGAAAGUGACUGUACCGUACGAAUAAGCCACGUCUAACUCCGUGCAAGCAGCCGCGGUAAUACGUAGGUGACAAGCGUUAUCCGGAUUUACUGGGUGUAAAGGGCGAGUAGGCGGGAUUGCAAGUCAGAUGUGAAAACUAUGGGCUCAACCGGUAGAGUGCAUUUGAAACUGGAGUUCUUGAGUGGUGGAGAGGCAGGUGGAAUUCCCGGUGUAGCGGUGGAAUGCGUAGAUAUUGGGAGGAACACCAGUGGCGAAGGCGGCUUGCUGGACAGUAACUGACGUUGAGGCGCGAAAGCGUGGGGAGCAAACAGGAUUAGAUACCCUUGUAGUC
rnacentral:rRNA from 1 species